rnacentral:rRNA from 1 species
UGGGGAAUAUUGGACAAUGGGGGCAACCCUGAUCCAGCCAUGCCGCGUGUGUGAAGAAGGCCCUUGGGUUGUAAAGCACUUUCAGUGGGGAGAAAAGUCUGUUACUUAAUACGUGAUGGAAUUGAUGUUACCCACAGAAGAAGCACCGGCUAACUCCGUGCCAGCAGCCGCGGUAAUACGGAGGGUGCAAGCGUUAAUCGGAAUUACUGGGCGUAAAGCGCACGUAGGUGGUUUGCUAAGCCAGCUGUGAAAUCCCCGGGCUCAACCUGGGCACUGCAGUUGGAACUGGCAAGCUAGAGUAGGGUAGAGGGGUGUGGAAUUCCAGGUGUAGCGGUGAAAUGCGUAGAUAUCUGGAGGAACAUCAGUGGCGAAGGCGACACCCUGGACUCAUACUGACACUGAGGUGCGAAAGCGUGGGGAGCAAACA